rnacentral:lncRNA from 1 species
AGAAACAGAUUUCGUUCUAACUUGUUAACAACUUUGGUAUGUCGUUGUAGUUCUACUUCUCUCAUUAUUUUUUGUUUGUGAUGUUCGUCCAAGGUCUUUCGCCACUUUGCAUCAGCAUCCAAAGUUUCACCAAGGGUCCCAGCCUCUGCAGAUAUCUCUGAAUUAUUAAUUGUUGGUAAGAUCAAAGAUGACGCUCUCAAUCUUGCUUGUUCUUCCUCAUCUUGCAUUGCUUUUGCCAUUCUUUCCCUCUCCUUCAAGGCUUGUGUGACUGUUGCUGACAAAAAGUUCUUUCCCCGAUAAAAGACCAAGAAGUAUUUAUUCCUCGAGAGUAGUACACCACCUGUCAAUUUCUGGGAAAAAAAAAGUAAUAAUUUAUCAACAGCAUAUAACAGGCAACCAUUUAUUAUUAUUUCAGUAUUUGUCUAUAACUAGAUUCGUUGAUGCAUGUAAAGUCCAUCCAACACUAAUCUAAAUGCAACUUGCAAGGCCAUCUGACUAACUUCUAUAUAUUAAUAUACAGUUAGUUCAUAAUUUUACAUUCUAACUUAUUAAAUAUCUAUAUUUUUCCAAAAUCCCUUUAUAAUGUGAUAACUUCAAAAUAACUUGAUAUCACUUAAACUUGUUAGAGAUACAAAUCCAGCGCCAGACUUCCACCUAUAAGAGUUGAAUCCCUCAAGUGUUACAAACAUAAGUUGUGGAGCAGUCUUGACCCCUUAAAUACAUUUCAUGUCUACUAAAGGAAGCUGCCAUUAGCAAAUUAUGGAGAAAAAACCGUACAUUUUUUGAACACGGGAAAAGCUUUUUCAUUAUGAAACGGCAUACGUAAUAAAAAUAACGUUGAAGAAAAAACUGGGAAAAAGUCAACAUUUUUACAAGUGGAACUGGAAGAGACAUGAUUUAUCAUUUAUCACCUUGAUCUCUUCUGCCAUUCUCUCGCUUGUAGUUAGCGGCACACCGCGUUUGAGUGCAACCUUUGCAAUAGAACUUUUUUCCCAUAAUUUAAUCAUGGCUGUAGCUAACCCUUGAAGCUGUCUGUUUCUGCCUAUACACAAUGAUUAAUUUAUAAUCAGCACGAAACUAUAUACACAAUGAUUAAUUUAUACUUCACAUGCACAAGAGAAUUAAUUGCUAACCUAAUGCAAAAUGUGGAGGAAGGGUCCUUGCAAUCCUUCGUAGAGAAGUUGCCUCUGUUUGACCAAGCGAGGGUCUCACUCCAAAGGGAAGAACUCUGAAGGGAGGCUCAUAAUCAGGAACAGUUGCUGGAAGCAUAUCUGCAUCAACUGGCAACGGCUCACUCCCAGGCCAAUCUGUGUAUCUAGGGCCUAGAGUAUCCAAAAAUUUGCCUACUUCAUCUUCGUAAGUAACUUCUGGAAGCAAAUUUUUUUCCUUUUGGUCAUCAGUAGCUUCCAUUUUUUCCAAAUGUGGACUUGUCCCAAAAUUAGAAGCAAUGUCAGAAUGCUUUUCCAAUGAACGAUGAGGUGGUGCUGGUAGAGACUUAAAAGAAUUCUCACUUUUCCCAUAUAUCUGUUUGUUCUGUUGCACUGAAGAACUCCCUCUUUUCCUAUAUAUCCACUUGUUCUGUUGUAUUGAAGGAGCUUCAUAGCUCACACCCCUGUACAAGGAAACAGAGUUGCCAGACCUCCAAACCACGAGACCACCAGUUUUCCUCUGAAUGUGAUUUUAAAAUAAUCAAGAAUAAGAAUAAGGCGAUGACCAAUGAAGAAUAUAUCCACACCCCAACAAUAUAAAAGAAAAGAAAACACAUAAACAAAACAAUAGCAGUCAGAAGAAGCAAGUUGAACAUGUAAUCAUAGAGCAUUCAACAUUCAAACAAAUCCCUAAGGAUAAUUGGGAUUAUUCUAACAAGAGAUGUGGUUGAUCAAGAAAUGUAUCCAAAUCCAAAAGAGAGGAAGUAUUCUCUCGAAUUCUAGAAAAUGUCACAAGAAUUCAUCACUAUAUGAAAAAAUUUGUGAAAAAGAAAUAUCAUGUUUCACAUCAAAACCUUUUAAGAAUAUCAGAACAUGUCAUACGGACAGAUUUGACCUUGGAUGUCCAACUAUAACACCAAGAAAGGGAAGGUGUCUAUAGAAUGCUAUUCAAUUCAUCUAAGACAAGUUUACCUAUGCUUCACAAAGACACUGUUACCUUCAAUACACUAUUGCAUUUGAAUCUAAUUAUCAUUAUAAGUUAUAAAUGAAGCUAAACUAAACAUAGAAGACUUAGAUACAUGAAACUAAGCCAAAGGUAGAAGGCAAACCUCCAGUAGCUCGUGCAUCCUCUUCAUGUUAAGUGCAGCUUCCCCUUCGAAUUUCAGCCUAACAAUCUCCGACUCUUUCCACCUCUCAUGAAUCUUGUCCACAAGACCUUGAGUAACCCCACCACCUCCAACUCUGGUCUUAUGCUUCUUCUCGAAAGUUAAGCGCCUCAGCCUCCUCAAUUCCGACUCUGGAAGAGUCAGUUCUGCAAGAGAAGUCUUACUUUCCCUCCUUCUUCGAUUAUACCUCUCUUCCUCUUCUUUCUCUUUAUCUAUUGGCUUCUCCCAUGGAAAUCUUACUAUUUCAGAUCUUAUCUUCUCCACUUUCUUUUGCAAAUUUGAAAUAUGCUUCAAGAGAGCCUGUUAUCAGUGGAAAAGGGAAAUUAAAAAAGAGCAUGCAUUGUACUAGUAAGUACAAUACUAGAAGAAAAUUAGGAUAAAUUAUCAAUUAAUUAGAGAGACCUACAAGUGUUUUUGGAUUUUGCAUGAAGAUUGAUAUUAGAUAUCACGAAACAAAAGUUUGUAUCAAUACCUCACGUCGUUGGAGCUCAAUUGACCGUGCUAGAGCCUUUCUCUUUGUCAAAAGAUUCUUCGGUCUUAGAGUUAAAGGUCGCUGGUAGUCCUUACCCCGGUAAACAACUAUAGCAUAUCCUUUUGAAACUUUGUCAACCGAAACUAAAAUGCCUCCACUCUCGGCUUCGAGUGCCAAUGCGACCUUUUUCACUUGAUCAAAGGUUUUAGCCUUCACAAUUAUCUUAACCAGUUCCCUAUAUUUCCAGUGCAGGUGCAUGUUCUCAAUUGUACCAUCAAAAACUCCACGUCUACCUGACACCAAAAAUCAGGUUCAUAUAAAACAAAUUUGAUUUAAAUUUGUUUUAUGGAUAAGCAUCAUGUGUAGUUUUAAUCAAAUUUACUAUCCCACCCUUACUCUAACCAAGGACACCCUGAUUUCUUCCCUUCCGCCCUUUGCUAAAGGUGAAAUGAACCAAAGUGGUCCUGAAAUAAAUUGGAGACAAUUUUAUAUGCUCUUACCAAGAAGUAAGAAGGCUUUCAUCCGCAAUCCUAAUUUGCGAAACAUAAACCUCUCUUCGUCAGUUAUGCUUUCAGGGUCUGAUUUGGGUUCCGAUGGCAUCAAAGAUGACUCCACUUUCAUCAAGGCUCGUUCAGCUCUCAUUACCUUUCUUUCAGCCUGGUAUAAGUGAAAAUCCCAGGAUCAAUCACAAUAAUAUAUAUGCCAAGUUGGAAAACAAUCCUAGAGUGGAGUUAGGACAUCAAAGAAGACAACAAGAAUGUAAAAAACUCCAAGGCACUUACACAUCAAACAUAAUAUCUAUAAGCAUUGGUGAUAAGGCCUUAUUUAGUGUCAUACUGAGCACGUUGGAAAUUAAACAAGCUUAGCAGUUAUAAAAAGUGUUUAAACUUGUUGAUAAUGUACGGAUGAGUGUCAGGUACAAAAUAAGUAAUAAAUAUUUUUUUCUCCUUGUAAACUUGGUCUAUUGCCUUCAUUAUUCAUUGUUUUAAUGCCUGUAAGAAAACCCUUAGGGAACUAUCAUUUUUCUCAAUCAUGGAAGUGACUUAACAUGAAAUCCAUUAGCAAGUUGAUAAGAGAUUUCUAUUCACUUACCAGAAACAGAUUUCGUUCUAACUUGUUAACAACUUUGGUAUGUCGUUGUAGUUCUACUUCUCUCAUUAUUUUUUGUUUGUGAUGUUCGUCCAAGGUCUUUCCCCAUUUUGCAUCUGCAUCCAAAGUUUCACCAAGGGUCCCAGCCUCUGCAGAUAUCUCUGAAUUAUUCAUAGUUGGUAAGACCAAAGAUGACGCUCUCAAUCUUGCUUGUUCUUCCUCAUCUUGCAUUGCUUUUGCCAUU